rnacentral:misc_RNA from 1 species
AUCCUAAGGUGAAUUAUCACCCAUGGUUGUCAAAAUUGAUUGCAGCAUUGUUUAAUUUGAUUAACCUACUUGUAGAAAAUAAUGAGCAACAAAGUUGAAAAUAAAGCAAAGCAGUUCAAUUAACAGAAUGUUAUCUCAUCGUAUGGUCAUUUUCUUGCUGCAAACUUCUCCACUGAGACCACUUAUUGUAUUGUUUUAGCCUUUUCACAGGUAGACGUGCCCUCUUCUUUUGUGGGUUUAGUUUUGGAGAA